rnacentral:rRNA from 1 species
UUCUUUGGGAUAAGCCUUGGAAACGGGGUCUAAUACUGGAUAUUCUGCUUCUGCCGCAUGGUGGGGGUUGGAAAGGGUUUUCUGGUGGGGGAUGGGCUCACGGCCUAUCAGCUUGUUGGUGGGGUGAUGGCCUACCAAGGCUUCGACGGGUAGCCGGCCUGAGAGGGUGACCGGCCACAUUGGGACUGAGAUACGGCCCAGACUCCUACGGGAGGCAGCAGUGGGGAAUAUUGCACAAUGGACGCAAGUCUGAUGCAGCGACGCCGCGUGGGGGAUGAAGGCUUUCGGGUUGUAAACUCCUUUUAACACUGAACAAGGCGAAAGUUGAGGGUAGGUGUUGAAUAAGCGCCGGCUAACUACGUGCCAGCAGCCGCGGUAAUACGUAGGGCGCGAGCGUUGUCCGGAAUUAUUGGGCGUAAAGAGCUCGUAGGCGGUUUGUCGCGUCUGCUGUGAAAGACCGGGGCUUAACUCCGGGGCUGCAGUGGGUACGGGCAGACUAGAGUGCGGUAGGGGUAACUGGAAUUCCUGGUGUAGCGGUGGAAUGCGCAGAUAUCAGGAGGAACACCGAUGGCGAAGGCAGGUUACUGGGCCGUUACUGACGCUGAGGAGCGAAAGCAUGGGGAGCGAACAGGAUUAGAUACCCUGGUAGUCCAUGCCGUAAACGUUGGGCACUA